AGAGUUUGAUCCUGGCUCAGGAUGAACGCUGGCGGCGUGCCUAAUACAUGCAAGUCGAGCGAACGGACGAGAAGCUUGCUUCUCUGAUGUUAGCGGCGGACGGGUGAGUAACACGUGGAUAACCUACCUAUAAGACUGGGAUAACUUCGGGAAACCGGAGCUAAUACCGGAUAAUAUUUUGAACCGCAUGGUUCAAAAGUGAAAGACGGUCUUGCUGUCACUUAUAGAUGGAUCCGCGCUGCAUUAGCUAGUUGGUAAGGUAACGGCUUACCAAGGCAACGAUGCAUAGCCGACCUGAGAGGGUGAUCGGCCACACUGGAACUGAGACACGGUCCAGACUCCUACGGGAGGCAGCAGUAGGGAAUCUUCCGCAAUGGGCGAAAGCCUGACGGAGCAACGCCGCGUGAGUGAUGAAGGUCUUCGGAUCGUAAAACUCUGUUAUUAGGGAAGAACAUAUGUGUAAGUAACUGUGCACAUCUUGACGGUACCUAAUCAGAAAGCCACGGCUAACUACGUGCCAGCAGCCGCGGUAAUACGUAGGUGGCAAGCGUUAUCCGGAAUUAUUGGGCGUAAAGCGCGCGUAGGCGGUUUUUUAAGUCUGAUGUGAAAGCCCACGGCUCAACCGUGGAGGGUCAUUGGAAACUGGAAAACUUGAGUGCAGAAGAGGAAAGUGGAAUUCCAUGUGUAGCGGUGAAAUGCGCAGAGAUAUGGAGGAACACCAGUGGCGAAGGCGACUUUCUGGUCUGUAACUGACGCUGAUGUGCGAAAGCGUGGGGAUCAAACAGGAUUAGAUACCCUGGUAGUC
rnacentral:rRNA from 1 species